GCUUUGUACUCCCUUAGUGCCCACAUUAGGACUGUGGGGAUCUCUCCAGAACAGAGAGAAAGUGUUGCACGCCUUCUCCACAGAUUGCAUCAAGUAGGUUAGAGGUUUUGAAAGGGGAUAUCCACUGUCUCCACCCACUCUUCUCCCAGUUAUUUUCUGGGACUCUGCACUAUACAACUUUAUUUGAUGGCAGAACAUUCAGAGGCUGUAAGCUUGACACCUGGCAAAAUGCUUCUGCUGUUUCUGUGUCUCGGUUUGGUCACUUCUAAUGUCCAGUCAAUAAUACAAGGGGUUAACGUAACGUGUGAAAGUCAAUCGGUUGUAGCAGGACGGAACCACAACCUGACAUGUAGAGUGGAUUACCGUGAUGCAGAUCAGAAUAAGACGGGAUGUAAAACUGAACUCUAUUUAUGGAAGCAUAAAUCAAAAACACAAAUUUGUACAACAGAUUGUAACAUUACGACAACAACCAAAACCUACUUUUUUGAGAUCAAAAAUGUUUCCAAAGCUGAUGAGGGAAACUACACUUUUUUCAUUAACACAAACUGUGGCGCAGGAAAAGGCACAUUGAAUGUUACAGUUACAUUGGGAAAUGAGAAAGCAGAGCUGUUAAAACAGGGACCAUCAGGUCACAUAAUCGUCAUUAUCAUCACUGUUCUGGGUCUUCUACUGUUUCUCAUCGCUUCUGGUUACGGCAGAAGAUUGAUGGGUCGACUUAAGAUCCUUGAGAAAAAUGACAACAUUGACAAGAGCCCUGAAGCUACCAGAGAGGUCCUAAACCUGGAGCCUGCAUAACAUUUCAGUUCAUGGAGGAGCCGUGGGUGUGUGAGCGUGUGUGUGUGUGUGUGUGUGUGUGUGUGUGUGUGUGUGUGUGUGUGUGUGUGUGUAUGUGCGUGUUAAUUAUUCUAUCCUUGUGGGGAAAUUUCCCACAUCCCCAUGAAGACACAGGCUAUUUUAAGCUUAGGUUUAGGGUUACAAUUAGGGUUAGGAGUUAGGUUUGGGUUAGGGUAAGGGUUAGGGAAAAUAUGACUUUGAAUGUAAAUAAAUGUUAGUUCCCCACAAGGAUAAAAUAACGUGUGUGUGGCUUGUUAGUAGUUGUUUUCAAAAAUAUUUUUUGCACCAAAGUUAGUGGAAUUAGUUUCUGUUUCAAAUCACUAAUAAGAGUUAUUCACUGACUUGACUAGUGUAAAUACCACUACAGAACAAUGUACAUUUAUAGUGACUAAUGCAUUGUUACACAUAGCCUGUUCACUACCAUACAAUAACUGAGAAUGUGAAUUAAUCAAUAUAAAUAAUGCUACACAAAUAUUAAAAAGCCUUAAAGGACAAUAUUCAUCUUUAUAUUCAACACCAAAGCUGGAAGAUAACAGGUCGGUCUGCCUAAACUGCAUUGUCAUAACCUUUACUAAGCUUGUUUAAAAAGGCAGUUGGUUUUGGUCUGCACAGUGCCUUCAGAAAGUAUUCAUACCCCUUAACUUACUGAAUUCAAAAUGGAUUAAAUCGAUUUAUUUUCUCACCCAUUUACACACUAUACCCCAUAAUGACAAAGCGAAAACAUGUUUUCAGAAAUGUUUACUAAUUUACUGCAAAUGAAAUACAGAAAUAUGUCAUUUACAUAAGUAGUCACACCCCUAAGUCAAUACGUUGUAGAAGCACCUUUGACAGUGAUUACAGCUGUGACUCUG